CCCUUCUUAGCUCAGUUGGAAGAGCAUCUGACUGUAACGAGCGCAAGCUCAACGAUAUCAGGAGGUCUCCGGUUCGAACCCGGAAGAAGGGA